CUGGUGCAUAUCUGACGCCGUCACUCUCUUCCUCUCACUCUUACUCGCUCGAAUUCACUCUCACUCUCGCUCGAAGUGUCUCUCACUCUCGCUCUCUGUACUCAUCUCUUCAUCAGAUCUAUGAAGUUUGUCGAAGAUUUGAAGGUUGAUUCUUGAAGAUUCGAAGGUUGAUUCUCCAGAUUUGCAGUUGUCUCUUUCGAUUUUAUCUCAUCGUUCAUCUAGUGGUCGAUUAAUCUACAUGAAACCUGUUUGAGAUUUGGCUUCUCAAAUCUACACAGUUGGCCUUACAAUUGUGUUAGGCCAUUGGGGAACGGAGGGGGUGGUGAAUCUCACAAAGAUGCGGCUUGUGAACUUUUCGAGAGUUUGGAACUACUUCUGUAUGAAAACCUUUCAUCCAGUUGUCUUGGUUGGGAGAGUUGCGUACAAUAAUAGAGAGAGAUUACAACAAAUUAAUUUAUAAGAAAUGAUAUCCACUAUCAAUGAUGAAUUGAUUCAUGAAAUGAUUUGUAACCCUAGUUCAUCAUCCACCUACCAGUGAUACAAGAAAUGAUCUGCUGUGAUGGUUCACGUAUCAAAGAAAGGAAAGAAGAAGAAGUAGAUAUGACAAACUCAAUGAAAGAAGGCUGCUGGAGAAAUUCUCUUUUGGAGCAACAUUUUAAGCAUUGUCUUAGGAGUUUUUGAGCUGUUUGGGAAAAGAUUGAAAGUUGGGGGAGGGGGUGGGAUGGAAAACUUAUGUUUGGGUCCCAUAUUACAGUGACAGGUUGAUGUAGUUGCAUCUCUAUUGAUGGCUAAUAAGAGGGAGCCCUGCCAAGCACAUAACUAUUGGAAAAGGUGCUUCAUAUAUGUGUAUUUGAUGCACACUACUCUUACAUGUAACAUGACAUUUUUUAUUUUUCUACAUGAUGAAAUUUUGAGACCAGAAAUGUAGCCUUCAGUUUUAUGUUCUUUGAUUGGAAGAUGACAUUCAAUUAACAGAAAUUCUUUAG